rnacentral:lncRNA from 1 species
CUGUCGUCUCCUGUGGUAACAGUGCCUUCUUCUAGAAUGCCUCCUAGAUGACCUGCCUGAGGCUGUUUACAGGAUUGGCUGUAUAAUUUGUGGGGCCCAGUGCAAAAUGAAAAUGCAGAACCCCUGUAUGCGGAUUACUAUGAAUCUCAAGACGGCAAUAGCAAAACAUUAAGUGCAGAGCCUUUAUAUGUAUGGAGCCCAGUGUGAAGUCGAUCCUGCCCCUCUGAAAGACUGAACAGCGUGUUCAGGGUAGCAGCCACCUUGAGAGCACAGCUGGAGCAGGUCCACAGCGCAGAGAGGAGCCUGCCUUCCUCUCCACAUCUUAGUUUAUGGGACCAGUUAACAUGCUCACAUGCACACAAACACACAUGCACAAACACACACACAAACACCUGGACAGGUAGUUCCAAGAACCCUCUGACAGAAGUGUUCAGCAGAA